AGUUUAAUUAUCCGAUGGAACGUCACUUCUUAUAGAAUGCACGCACAAAGACACAAUAUAUUCCGUAGAUAUAACCACCUUUCGGACGAAAUCCCGAUAAGGUGUAACCCGAUGUCAGCUCUCGGAAUCGCAUAUCAGUUUUCAGCUAGCACCGGUACACGUUCCCCGAAAGUCGUGAUGCACUUCGAGGUCUCACUGUACGAGACAUCGGAUUGAGCGCUGCUUUUCGGUUCACAAUAAUUCGUCGUGGUGGUUCAUCAUUCAUUUCUGAAUAUACAUACACAUAAGUAAAGAUGACAAACAUGUAUGAACACGCAACUAUUUUCCUACGCAUCACAAAUGAACGAGCCGCGACCGUUAGAGGGAAAUUAGAUCCCUGCGAGAUAUGUCGUGAAAAUAGUCUUCUCAAUACAGUGGAAAAUCGAUCAUUUCUCUUCUCAAAACAUUCCUUUAUAAUUACAAUCGCACUACCUAUGAAGAAAGAAGCAAAAUGGCAACCCUGAAGGGCGCACAAUGUACAAUGGCUGCCAUUAAUGGCAGCUAGGCUAAACGAUUUCACGUGGUUUUCCGUCAAUAUUUUUUCUGUCAUAUGUUACUCACCUUUUAUCACAUCCGCAUACUUACAAUUUGAACCUGAUAUAUCUUGCUCUUUCUUGUAAGGGUAUUACUUACGUUAAUGGAACAAUACAUUUGACUAGUUUUGAUCGAAUAACGAAUUUUAUUGUUUUCUCGAAUUAAUCUUUGUGUGGGACACAAUACAAUAUACAUGUUUUUCGAACAAUCAAUAAUUUCGAGUCCUAAAAUAUAUAUUUCAAAAUUCUAAAAAUAAAUAUACGUUGCACAAAA